CUCUAUAUAUCUAAAUUUAAGAGCUGGGCUCUUACUCCAGUUAUGUGCGUAUGCACUAUAGGGU
rnacentral:tRNA from 1 species